UGGGGUCGGGGUUGGCUCUGGCACUUCUGUCUGCUGUUUCUGUUGUUCUUGCUUUGGUACCUGCAGCGGACCCACGGGAUGCAACCAAGGCUUCUCUGAGUCCGAGUACCUCCCCCACCCACGGAGGACCAAGGUGACCGAGCAGGUCGUGCAAAGCAGAGGGGCUGGGCACGACUUCCUAAGGGCACACCUGCAGAAGGAAGGCUAGUCAGUGCCAAAGGUGAUUUGACAAUGACCAGCUCCUAAUGUCAAUGGUUGGUGAUGACAGGAAACUAGCUGGGACUCCUAUUCCUAAAGUACAUCUAGAGCAGAGAUCUGGCCUCAGACUGGCUAAGGCGAGUUGUGCAGGCUGGGCAGCUAGCAUCCUCUGCUGGCCAUCAGUGGAAACUGUAUGUUUGGACAUCUCUUCUAUACUACCUGAAGAACAGAGAUGACACUGAGCACCAUUCAGCAGGGGCCUGACAUGCAGGCCCUGGGGAGCUCCCAAACCUUGCGUGAGUGGGGUCUGACACUGGAGAAUCCCCGAGAUUAAGAGUGCGUGGACACCCAGCCUGGCUUUCCCGCUGGAAAACGUUGCCGAGUCUGCGAGCCUCAAGAGGACACUGACUUCUUGAGGGGUGGUGAAGACGGCUGGUGGGCGGGGAGACCCAACCCCAUCUCCAGUGGCUGCGGUGAACUCAAGAUAGGGUGGUGAAGACGGCUGGUGGGCGGGGAGACCCAACCCCAUCUCCAGUGGCAGCGGUGAACUCAAGAUAAGGUUAAGGGGCUGGCCCCAGGACACACAGGCCAACUGCCUGGGGGAGAUCAAGGCAACUAGGCCAAGUGGCCCCGGCCUCUGCCUUUAGGGGCAACGAGUGUUGGUGGUGUGGGACACUGUUGAGAAAGUAAAUCUCUACUUUUUUUGGCCUGGAUGAUGGGGCUCUGCCCCCCUUCCCCUCCCCGUCGGCUACUGCAUGGCCUGCGGGCACACUACUGGCCUGCUGUGCUGUCCACUGCCUGUCUGUACACGGGAGCAGGAAGAAGGUGAGCCUCAAGUUAGGCCCAUACCUUGUUUAACCCCUAUGCUGACACUAGCACCCCACCCCCACCUUAAAGGCUUAAAGAAGAAAGCAAGCGACGCAUUAGACAUCACAGAACCCAUAAGGGCACACAGUCUGUCUCUCUCGUGGUUCUUUCAGACUCUGGGUAUCCCAAGAUCCCCUCUGGAGUUUGGACCCUGGUAAAGCUUUUAGCCUGGAGGGUUGGGGCAUGUGAUUUCACCACACAGAGCGGCACUGUCCUGGCUCUUGGAGCAGGUGUGAGCACUCUGUAAGAUGGUGUGCACGGCACCCUUACUGCUGCGCUCCCCUUUACCAAUCGUUGCUGUACCAUUACCGUUGGGCAGGUUUCCAGGGAUGGGCAGUGCCCAGGCUGCUGGGGAGAGGCAAUCCCAGGCUCCCCACACCUGUAGCCCAUGGGUGAGUCCCCAGAAGUUACUGUUUAAACAGGAGAUGACAGUUGGGGGUGGGUAGGGGCCAGGCCUCAGCACCGAACACGGACAGGCGCAUGCCACAAGGGCCUCUGGAUCAGCCAAAUGGAACCAGCCUGGCGCUGUUUCCAUUCACCUCUCCUCCUAACCCCUCCCUCUUCUUAAGUGCUGGAGCGUACAGAAGCAGGGGCCCUAUAUCCCUGGGUUGGCUCUUGCCCACCCCAUAGUACAGUGACAGGGCUACUUACCAGUUUUCGGAGGGCUCCCUCAUCCAGCCCAGCUAAGGCCUCAUCUGCCAUCAUGCUGGCCUCUAGUUCCUUAACUGUGUCAGCUCCUGGUGGCACUCAGGGGCUUCUGCAAGAGGCAGACAUGAGUUAGAUUGCUGGAGCUUGUAGACACCUCAGUCCCUUGGGUUUUAUGCUGGUUUCCCUCUCCAGCCCAUGAGAAUUUGUUUCUGUCCUAUCCUACCCUGCCAUGCUGAAAAUUCACUAGCCAAGAAUAGGUAGGUGUUCCUGUUCCAGCCUUACCAUUGGCUGCCAGGCUGCUCUGUGGUCUAAGCUGGCAUCCUGACUAAGCCCCAAACAAGGAGGGCAUGGCCCUGGAUUGAGAAAAGGAAUCAGCAAGGUCCACCCAAGCUGUUUACCACCAGGGGGUGCAAGCCAUUCUUUAGCUUCCUGUCACAGCCACUCAUCUUUAGGCUUGCCCAGCCUACCCUCUACCUGCCCUUUCUCCACAAGCCGGGCUUGGGCUGUGGGUUGAGCCCAUGUCCGAGCCUUGCUGCUACUGUCACUCAUCCCGUAGGUACAGGGAGCUACUUGUGUCUUGUCUCACAGCCAGCCUUCUGUGCAUAUCCAUCCUUCUUUCCUCCCUGUGACACCAGCCAGUGUCCAGCUCUCCCUGUCACUUACAAUUCACUUCCCAGCUGACCCACCCAACCUCCGGACUUCAGUCAAACUCAAAGAUUCAUCAUGGGGGCAGUGAAGCUCAGACUCCAAGGGCAGGAAGUCUGAUGCGAUUCCUGGUUACUUCUGCCUUCUGAAGACCCUCCCCAGAAUGCCACCAAGACUCCAGGAUGUUUGUUUCCUGUCCAGUCACUGCCCAUCAAAACGGAUCCCUAAAUCUGUUGUCAGUUUUCUAGCCCAACCCUCCUUCCUGGAACCUGGGAGUCCCUGGAACUAGACGAUCCAAGGCCUAGCACACCUGGGUGUUUAGUUAAUAUGGUGACUGAAAUGGCCUCAGGACCCCCACCUCCUUUGAUUCAUGCCGAAAUCAUCCCUUCUCUCUACAACACUCACUUAGUGUGAGUCACCCCAUCCGGUGAAUGGGUCUGGGGGAGCCCCAAUGCACGCUGAUUGGAGUUUGAAGAACCCGGUCUGUUCAGUUACUGCUUCGAGCUCGCCAACCAUUCUGAGGGUCUUUGCCUCCUGAUCUAGCUACUCUUUCUUGGGCAACUCCUCCUCCCCAGUGUCAUUUAAUGGUCACCAGUCUUAGAUAUUGUGGACAUACUGUGCUCCCUCAUGUAGGCAAGGGUGUUCUAGUACCACUCUGCACAGAAAUCCCAUGGCUUCAUGCUACAGUUUGAGGUCCUGGAGACUGUUACGGCCCUGUGGGAGUGGGGUCAGACCUGGGAAAGCUUCCUGAAGGUAUCAGUUCCCCACAGAUUAGUGUCUCUGGGGAUCGUGGAGCCUUUUCGAGGUCCGUAGGUGCCUUCACCAAGGUCUCGGAACCUUAAUCCUGUGACUUGAAGCUCCCGUAAUUUGGCUGGGGCUUCGGGACCCGGGAGUUCCAGAAUCCCUGUCUAGAUACCCUGGUUUCACCACCCCACCCUCCGGACUCAUCUUGGCUCCUAGGGUCUCCCCGAGACACUCACACCCACCUCUCAGUCCGACCCUUUCUUCCGUGCGGGUUCCUGUUAGUUUGAUCGUGACCCGGCAGACGCAGAGAAGACAGGCGGGCGGGCGGGAGGCACCGCAGCCCGGGAUCCCAAGCCGGUUCAGCAACGUCCCCUGGACUCUGCGGCAGACGCUUGUCCCGCGGCGCCAGCCAGCUGGAUGGCCCCGCCCUAACAAGCCGUCCCAGCCAAUUCCCUGUUGGGUCCUGCCCCUGCUUGGGUCCUAUUGGGAAAAUUCAAUUUUUUAGGUCCCGCCCCCACUAAACUCCAGCCCCACACUGUCCUGGAAUGUUGGGUAUUGUAGUCUUUGGGGCUUCUGCCGCGGUGUCCUUGACCUCCUCGGGUGGGCUUCGGCAGGACGCAGGCUCGAAGCCGAAGUCCAGGAGGGUGCCACAAGGCGGGCAAACAGCCCGGGAUCAUGUAAGCCCCCAGAGGUCCGGACAGCCCCUCCCCUCCCUCUUUGUUCCCGAGACCACAUCCUUUCUCCGGGCUCCACCCACUCCUGGCUCCAGUACACAGGCUUGCUCCGCCGAGGCUCACAGAGCGCUUUCGCGACAGCUGGUCUUUGCCGUCCCAGGGAAAGCACUGGGUGACCAGCAGCAUCUUGACCUUGUGCCGAGUCGCCAAGGACCCCCUGAGACGGAACAGGAUCGACAUGUCGGUAGAUCUGAUCCGCCCACCACACAAAAUAACAUCAAUCCUGGCACGUAUUGAGCACCUACUGUGUACUCUUUAGUUGUUUAAGCCUGGAUACAGUUCUGUCAAGUAGGUGCUGGGAUAUAUGUCCAUUUUACAGAACAAAAACAACUGAAGUUUAGAGACUGGAAGAUCCUUAUCCAAUUUGACAUAGCAAGCUGAUGGAGGACCGGCGUUUGAAAGCAGAUGUGUGGGUUUUCUCCUUCAGCAGAUCCACGAACCUUUAACGGAUGGGUGAAGAGCCAUACAUGGGAAGGCAGACGGUUGCCUUGCAAGCUCUG